ensembl:lncRNA
CAGACAGCAAAGUUGAUAAAAUUGAUUAAAAAUUAAAUAUAUAUAUCUAUAUAUAUGUAAUGGGGAAGGCUUUAGGACCCAGGGGACUCAAUGGAGGGCAUAAAAGAGGGCGUAGUAACAGGUGCUGAUGAUUCCCACUGACAAGCGGCUGUGAGUAAUGGAUGCGUGAGUAGGUGAAGAGCCGAGAAGUUUAAUCGCCUACGACGCAAACUGUGGUUUUAAACCUCUAUAGAUGAGGUUCAAGUAGUGAUUUCUGUGGAAGAAAAGGCCAAGACAAAUCAGGUGUGCAGCAAAUACAGUUGCCUACUCGAGGUAUGUUAAUUUAAUAUAUCUGACAUUAAAAAAAGGGAAAAAAAGUCUAUUAUGCAUUAUAAUUUAACUUAUAUUGUAUUCCCUCCUGUAGGGCAGGCUGCACAUGCGAACUUGUCACUGUUUUUUUUCCUCCUUCUCUGUAUGGUUGUGUUUUGUUGGUUUUAGCAGGUCACCGUUUUUAAUUAUUUUUGUUGUUUUAUUUCGGGUUUUGUUUAUUUUUAUUGGGUUGGUGCAAUACUAAGCGGGCAACGUGCAAUCCCUGAGUGGGGCUCAUACCUCGGGGGGAUGAGGAUUUUUUUAGUGGUGCUCUGUGUGUGGAUUUGCCGUGAUUAAGGUUUAUUAAGAGUGCUUUUGUAUUACCACCGUCUAUUGCCUGAACUAGCACUUAGUGCAUGCUAUAAGUGUUCGGUUGGGCCUUUUUAUGUUUGAGGUGGAUUUGUCUCUUUUAGAGUGACGAGCACCUGGGACCGCCAAGGAGGAACAAACCCUCAGGUGAUAGCUUCGUUGCUGGCAAGGUUGCACCGCUACUAUUUUUUUUUUUGUUGUAGCGAUGUUUUAGGUUUUUUUCUUUUUCUCAAAACUUUGGUGUCUUGUCAUGUUAAUAAAUUGUUGAACAUCUUUUACUGAUAUUGAUCCUCUUGUCCUGUUUAUUCUGGAUUCGAUCUGUGAGAGUUUUUUUUUGGUCUGAAAGUUCGUACUAGUCAUAAGAGAGGCCCACAGUGGUUACUUGGUGGCUUAUACCACGCUAUAUAUAUA